rnacentral:rRNA from 1 species
GAUGAACGCUAGCGACAGGCCUAACACAUGCAAGUCGAGGGAGAGUGUAGCAAUACACAAAACCGGCGCACGGGUGAGUAACGCGUAUGCAACCUACCUACAACAGGGGGGAUAGCUCCCGGAAACGGGAAUUAACACCGCAUAAGACCACGGUACCGCAUGGUACAGUGUUAAAAAUUACGAUGGUUGUAGAUGGGCAUGCGUGACAUUAGAUAGUUGGUGAGGUAACGGCUCACCAAGUCGACGAUGUCUAGGGGGUUCUGAGAGGAAGGUCCCCCCA